rnacentral:rRNA from 1 species
UACGAAGGGGGCUAGCGUUGCUCGGAAUCACUGGGCGUAAAGGGUGCGUAGGCGGGUCUUUAAGUCAGGGGUGAAAUCCUGGAGCUCAACUCCAGAACUGCCUUUGAUACUGAGGAUCUUGAGUUCGGGAGAGGUGAGUGGAACUGCGAGUGUAGAGGUGAAAUUCGUAGAUAUUCGCAAGAACACCAGUGGCGAAGGCGGCUCACUGGCCCGGUACUGACGCUGAGGUGCGAAAGCGUGGGGAGCGAACAGG